AUUGAACGCUGGCGGCAGGCCUAACACAUGCACGUCGAACGAGUGGCGGACGGGUGCAUAAUGUCUGGGAAACUGCCUGAUGGAGGGGGCUAACUACUGGAAACGGUAGCUAAUACCGCCUACCCUACGAUCUGCCCCGAUGGGAUUAGCUAGUAGGUGGGGUAAAGGCUACCCUAGGCGACGCACCCUAGCUGGUCUGAGAGGAGUACCAGCCACACUGGAACGGAGACACGGGCCAGAGGCCGACGGGAGGCAGCGGUGGGGAAGAUUGCACAAUGGGCGCAAGCCGGAUGCAGCCAUGCGGCGUGUAUGAAGAAGGCCUUCGGGUUGUAAAGUACUUUCAGCGGGGAGGCGUUACCCGCAGAAGAAGCACCGGCUAACUCCGUGCCAGCAGCCGCGGUAAUAC
rnacentral:rRNA from 1 species